AUGUGUAACAUUCAAGGUUUUAUUCAGUAUUUACAUACAGUACACAAGUCAGAAACAAUGGUCAAGAAACCUUCAAAUAAGGUCAGUUGGAUAUAAAAUAAAAUCUGCAGUCAAAACAACAGAUUUUCCAUUAAAAAUCACAAACAAGUGUUUUUUUCUUUCUAAGCAUAUUUUUUAUGUCCACGUAGGUGUUGGAGAUAUACAGAGCUAUGAUGAAACAAUCACAUGUUCUUUUACAGCUAAUACAUUUCCCUUUCUGCUCCUUAAGAAAACAUAAACCUGACGUUCAGUCAUUUUAGUACCCUGUGGUUGCAACCGAGCCAAAUAUAGACAUUACCUCGUCCUCAACCCACUCUCGUACCCGAACACGUUCUUGAUAUUAUUUUUCAUGACGUUACCGUAGCAACCCUCCUAUAAGGUAGCCUCGUUUCAUUUGACAGUGCAGUGGUGGUGAUGAUCAAGAAUCAUAAGCUUUAUGUAAAUGGUUUACUCUAACUUGUAUGCUACUUUAUGACUCAUAGGGCCACUGUGUCAGGUGAGGGGACAGGUAGUCGUUUUCCCUAACUAAAGCUUCAUAGGGCCACUGUGUCAGGUGAGGGGACAGGUAGUCGUUUUCCCCACACUAAAGCUUCAUAGGGCCACUGUGUCAGGUGAGGGGACAGGUAGUCGUUUUCCCUAACUAAAGCUUCAUAGGGCCACUGUGUCAGGUGAGGGGACAGGUAGUCGUUUUCCCUAACUAAAGCUUCAUAGGGCCACUGUGUCAGGUGAGGGGACAGGUAGUCGUUUUCCCCACACUAAAGCUUCAUAGGGCCACUGUGUCAGGUGAGGGGACAGGUAGUUGUUUUCCCUAACUAAAGCUUCAUAGGGCCACUGUGUCAGGUGAGGGGACAGGUAGUCGUUUUCCCCACACUAAAGCUUCAUAGGGGCCACUGUGUCAGGUGAGGGGACAGGUAGUCGUUUUCCCCACACUAAAGCUUCUCUUCUGAAAAACCUCACGGCCUUAGCCCCGUCCUCACUAGAUCAAGUAGCACUCAGUUUAAUGAAAUUUCCUAGUUACUAUUGAUAUCACGAGAGAUUAAAGGGUUUGAAAUUGCCCCCAUAAACGAAAUAUUCCUAAUCCAGCUCGGUGUGGCCGUUUGUGUCGACUACAUCAGCACCGUGAAUCGAGUGCACUUAUAGCACGUCAAAGCCUCAGACUCAGUGGGUGUCAUGUCCUUCACAUGACAAGACAGAGCUGGCUUCAUCAUGGCUCAGACUCUCAGAGUGGAGAGUGGGAUACUAAAGGCAUGUAACAAGUAUCAUUAAUACCAAUUCUCAUGUUCGAAUUCUUAUGACACGUUCUACUAAUCCCUUGAACGAUGCAAGUCUGUCUUGCAUGAAGUAGUGAUUUCCUUGCUUAUUGUGGCCAAUGAGAAUACAGAAUUAGCAGGCUAGGGUCCAUUUUAAAAGCAUGUUUUGACACAAUAGACAAUGUUGGGUAUUUUUGCCAGCAUUUAGCUGAUAAUGUAGUUGACCAUCAUUGUCCUCCACAAAGAAAAUCGGGGAGGGGACUGUGGAUCUAUAUCCGUCCGUUAUCUCAGACAGCACUGGCCUAAUUUUGACGAGACUUGGGGGAAUGAUGCAUCUUGCAAUAGAGAUCCGCCAUUUACAAAAUGACACUGUUUGGCCAGACUGUGGCGUUAUAACAAGUUAUUGAAAAUGCAAACUUUAAAAGGUCACACCCCUCAGACCAUUUGACCAAAAGUCAUUAAAUUCUGUACAUACAGUAUGUCCCUCUCCUCACAAGAAACAAAUAAGGUCUGCUAUGAUGGAUUUUCAGCCAUUUACAAUUUUGUGCUAAAGACUUACAACGCUACUCCUCUGGCAUCGAAUUACCAAUCUGUAUGAAACAUGAUAUUUGGCAUCUAUGGACAAAGAUCUCUCAACGCAAUAUUUUCCAGACUAGUACCUAAAACAACAUAGCCGCUCUUGACCAAUAAACAUUCACGUGGGCGUGGUCUGGCACAUUAAUGCAUAUAAAUCAGUUACAGAUAUUCGUAUUGUAACAAACUCUGGUGAACAUGUUGCAAACACUGUCAGGACUCAUCAUACAGUGCCUUUGGAAAGUAUUCAGACCCCUUGAUUUUUCCCACAUUUUGUUACGUUACAGCCUUAUUCUAAAAUGUAUUAAAUUGUUUUUUUUCCCCUCAUUAAUUUAUAGACAAUAUGACAAAGCAAAAACGAUCACAUUUACAUAAGUAUUCAGACUGUUUAAUCAGUACUUAAUCAGUACACAGAGGAACUCUAGAGCUCUGUCAGAGUGACCAUCGGGUUCUUGGUCACCUCCCUGACCAAGGCCCUUCUCCCCCGAUUGCUCAGUUUGGCCAGGCAGCCAGCUCUAGGAAGAGUCUUGGUGGUUCCAAACUUCUUCCAUUUAAGAAUGAUGGAGGACACUGUGUUCUUGGAGACCUUCAAUGCUGCAGAAAUGUUUUGGUACCCUUCCCCAGAUCUGUGCCUCGACACAAUCCUGUCUUGGAGCUCUAUGGACAAUUCCUUUGACCUCAUGGCUUGGUUUUUGCUCUGGCAUGCACUGUCAAAUGUAGGACCUUAUAUAGACAGUUGUGUGCCUUUCCAAAUGAUGUCCAAUCAAUCUAUUUUAGAAUAAGGCUGUAACGUAACAAAAUGUGGAAAAAGUCAAGGGGUCUGAAUACUUUCCGAAUGCACUGCAACCAAGAACAUUCAUAUGGACACCACAUGGUGGCGCUAUGGCUUUUGUUACUAUCAGUAUAUUCUAGUUUGAAUUGUUAUUACUAAUUGG
rnacentral:lncRNA from 1 species